rnacentral:rRNA from 1 species
AUUGAACGCUGGCGGCAUGCCUUACACAUGCAAGUCGAACGGCAGCAUGAUCUAGCUUGCUAGAUUGAUGGCGAGUGGCGAACGGGUGAGUAAUACAUCGGAACGUGCCCUGUAGUGGGGGAUAACUAGUCGAAAGAUUAGCUAAUACCGCAUACGACCUGAGGGUGAAAGUGGGGGACCGCAAGGCCUCAUGCUAUAGGAGCGGCCGAUGUCUGAUUAGCUAGUUGGUGAGGUAAAGGCUCACCAAGGCGACGAUCAGUAGCUGGUCUGAGAGGACGAUCAGCCACACUGGGACUGAGACACGGCCCAGACUCCUACGGGAGGCAGCAGUGGGGAAUUUUGGACAAUGGGCGAAAGCCUGAUCCAGCAAUGCCGCGUGUGUGAAGAAGGCCUUCGGGUUGUAAAGCACUUUUGUCCGGAAAGAAAUGGCUCUGGUUAAUACCUGGGGUCGAUGACGGGACCGGAAGAAUAAGGACCGGCUAACUACGU